GGUUUUAACGAUACUGUUUAAUAAAUUAAAUAAUCUAUAAACUAGCUGUCAUAAUAUAUAAAAGAUAUUUUUAUUUCUACUAUUAUAUAAAAGUCCGUGUUUGUGAUCUUGAAAGUAAUACAUUCGAGUAGUUUUUAUGGUUCUUAUCUCUCUCCGACACCUGGGCACGACCCCCACAUCUUUAUACUUAAAUACAGCAGACAACCAAGGGAAAGUUAUUCAUCUGGUCAUCGCCUGUUGAUGUGAUUCGUCUCCUUCACAACCUCUUCUAGUCUACACUAAACUUUUUGAGGAAGCAUGGCUCGUCGUAAGUAAAAUAAUAUUAUUAUGCUGUAAUACAUUACAUUAAGUAAUACUUCGUCAGUCAUACUGUGACCUGAAAUAUUUUCAAUCUAUCAGCUUUUAUGUUACAGAAUUAAAUUCAUCAGAGAUUGAUGCUUUUGAAGCCAUCAACCAAUUCUCGUGGCCUCGAUCCAAUGCUGACGCCCAAAGGGAAGAAGAUAUAAUCGAGGUCAUUGAUUUAACAGCGGAGGACGAGCAAGAAGCCACCGAUCUGGUCCAAGCCACGUUGGUCAGCUCGACACGGCCGGAAAAAAGACGCCUUGAUUAUAACUUUAGCCCUGUUUCAAACAAGAGGCUGAAAAUUUAUACCGACGUACAGGAUCAACAU